rnacentral:rRNA from 1 species
GAGUUUGAUCUUGGCUCAGAUUGAACGCUGGCGGCAGGCCUAACACAUGCAAGUCGAGCGGUAGAGAGAAGCUUGCUUCUCUUGAGAGCGGCGGACGGGUGAGUAAUGCCUAGGAAUCUGCCUGGUAGUGGGGGAUAACGCUCGGAAACGGACGCUAAUACCGCAUACGUCCUACGGGAGAAAGCAGGGGACCUUCGGGCCUUGCGCUAUCAGAUGAGCCUAGGUCGGAUUAGCUAGUUGGUGAGGUAAUGGCUCACCAAGGCGACGAUCCGUAACUGGUCUGAGAGGAUGAUCAGUCACACUGGAACUGAGACACGGUCCAGACUCCUACGGGAGGCAGCAGUGGGGAAUAUUGGACAAUGGGCGAAAGCCUGAUCCAGCCAUGCCGCGUGUGUGAAGAAGGUCUUCGGAUUGUAAAGCACUUUAAGUUGGGAGGAAGGGCAGUAAAUUAAUACUUUGCUGUUUUGACGUUACCGACAGAAUAAGCACCGGCUAACUCUGUGCCAG